rnacentral:rRNA from 1 species
AAGAGCCGAUGAAGGACGUGACAAGCUGCGAUAAGCUAGGGUGAGGCGCACAUAGCCUUUGACCCCUAGAUUUCCGAAUGGGUAAACCCAGUGAGCAUAAUGGCUCAUUAUCCGUACCUGAAUAUAUAGGGUACGUGAAGGCAACCCGGAGAACUGAAACAUCUAAGUACCCGGAGGAAAAGAAAUCAAUAGAGAUUCCCCUAGUAGUGGCGAGCGAACGGGGACCUAGGUCAAACCGAUAAGAGCGCAAGCCUUGUCGGGGUUGUAGGACCGGUCAAUAUUCAAGUUACCAAGUGCAAGACAAGCAAAAUGGCAUGGGAAGGCCAACCGUAGAAGGUUAAAGUCCUGUAUGCGAAUGUUUAUGCACCUUGAGACCGGCUCCUGAGUACUGCCGAACACGUGAAACUCGGUGGGAAGCUGGGACGACCACGUUCCAAACCUAAAUACUCCUUUGUGACCGAUAGUGAACAAGUACCGUGAGGGAAAGGUGAAAAGCACCCCGGGAGGGGAGUGAAAUAGUACCUGAAACCGUGUGCCUACAAGCAGUCGGAGCACUAUUUAUAGUGUGACGGCGUGCCUUUUGUAGAAUGAGCCAGCGAGUUACGAUCUGCGGCAAGGUUAAGCAUUAAGCGAGCCGUAGCGACAGCGAGUCUGAAUAGGGCGCCAUAGUCGUAGGUUGUAGACGCGAAGCCAGGUGAGCUAUCCAUGGGCAGGCUGAAACGGGGGUAAGACCCCGCGGAGGGCCGAACCCACUUAGGUUGAAAACUGAGGGGAUGACCUGUGGAUAGGAGUGAAAGGCUAAUCAAACCUGGAGAUAUCUCGUUCUCCCCGAAAUAGCUUUAGGGCUAGCGUCGAGCGUUUACCUUAGGAGGUAGAGCACUGGAUGGUCGCGGGGGCCUCACCGCCUACCAACAUCAACCAAACUCCGAAUGCCUAAGGUCCAGAGCUCGGCAGUCAGAAUAUGUGGGCUAAGCUGUGUAUUCAAAAGGGAAACAGCCCAGACCGCCCGCUAAGGUCCCUAAAUCCAUACUAAGUGGCAAAGGAUGUGCGUUUGCUCAGACAACCAGGAUGUUGGCUUAGAAGCAGCCAUUCAUUUAAAGAGUGCGUAAUAGCUCACUGGUCGAGUGGACAUGCGCCGAUAAUAUACGGGGCUAAGUAUGGUACCGAAGCGGCGGACUAGAUUAUAUCUAGUGGUAGGGGAGCUUUCUGUACGGGGUGAAGCUGCAUCGUGAGGUGUGGUGGACUGUACAGAAGUGAGAAUGCUGGCAUGAGUAACGAGAGAGAUGUGAAAAACAUCUCCGCCGUAAGUCCAAGGUUUCCUGGGCAAGGUUAAUCCUCCCAGGGUCAGUCGGGAGCUAAGGCGAGGCCGGAAGGCGUAGUCGAUGCAUAGCAGGUAGAUAUUCCUGCACCUCCAAAAAAACGUUAUCACCAAUGGGGUGACGGAGAAGGGUAGCUGAGCGGGGUUCUGGACGUCCCCGUGAAUCCGCGUAGGUUGUCGUGUAGUGAAAUGCGCACGACUUUAAGCUGAGGCGGUGGACGAAGCAAUUAAGUGAAGUCAGUGAGCCCAUGCUUCCAAGAAAAACCUCUAGGAAGUUUUUAGGAGCCCGUACCAAAACCGACACAGGUGGACGGGUAGAACAUACCAAGGCGAUCGGGAGAACUAUGGUUAAGGAACUCGGCAAAAUAGCCCCGUAACUUCGGGAGAAGGGGUGCCCCACUUAGGUGGGGCCGCAGUGAAAUGGGUCAACCGACUGUUUAUCAAAAACACAGCAUUGUGCUAAGACGCAAGUCGAUGUAUACGAUGUGACACGUGACCAAUGCCAAAAGAUUACGAUGAGAUGUUAGCCCCAUUUAUGGAGGCAAAGCUUCGAGUCCAAGUCCUGGUGAAUGUCGGCCGUAACUAUAACGGUCCUAAGGUAGCGAAAUUCCUUGUCGGGUAAGUUCCGACCUG